AGAGUUUGAUCCUGGCUCAGAAUGAACGCUAGCGGCGUGCUUAACACAUGCAAGUCGUACGAGAACUCUUUAGCUUGCUAAAGAUAGUAAAGUGGCGCACGGGUGAGUAACGCGUGGGUAAUUUACCUCUGAAUUUGGGAUAACUCCGCGAAAGCGGGGCUAAUACCGGAUAAUAUUUCAGGAUCUUCGGGUUUUGAAAUCAAAAGUGGCCUCUACAUGUAAGCUACUGUUUGGAGAUGAGCCCGCGUACCAUUAGCUUGUUGGUAGGGUAAUGGCCUACCAAGGCUACGAUGGUUAGCUGGUCUGAGAGGAUGAUCAGCCACACUGGAACUGACACACGGUCCAGACUCCUACGGGAGGCAGCAGUGGGGAAUUUUGCGCAAUGGGGGAAACCCUGACGCAGCAACGCCGCGUGAGUGAUGAAGGCUUUCGGGUCGUAAAGCUCUGUCAAGUGGGAAGAACAUGAGAAAUGUUAAUAUCAUUUUUCACUGACGGUACCACUGAAGGAAGCACCGGCUAACUCCGUGCCAGCAGCCGCGGUAAUACGGGGGGUGCAAGCGUUAUUCGGAAUUAUUGGGCGUAAAGGGCGCGUAGGCGGUCUUUUAAGUCAGAUGUGAAAGCCCGGGGCUUAACCCCGGAAGUGCAUUUGAAACUGAAAGACUUGAGUAUGGGAGAGGGAAGUGGAAUUCCUGGUGUAGAGGUGAAAUUCGUAGAUAUCAGGAGGAACACCGGUGGCGAAGGCGACUUCCUGGACCAAUACUGACGCUGAGGCGCGAAGGCGUGGGGAGCAAACAGGAUUAGAUACCCUGGUAGUCCACGCAGUAAACGAUGAACACUAGGUGUAGCGGGUAUUGACCCCUGCUGUGCCGCAGUUAACGCAUUAAGUGUUCCGCCUGGGGAGUACGACCGCAAGGUUAAAACUCAAAUGAAUUGACGG
rnacentral:rRNA from 1 species